CUGAACUUGCAGUGAUUUUGGAGCUCCAGAAGUGAGGGAUCAUUACCCCUGUCCAGAGAGGUCUGUCUGUGUUUGGUCACAUGGAUCCACUUCUUCCAGGUCCGCACCCUCUACAUCUGGAAUGAUGACACACUCUUCUGCAAUUCUGGCUUUUAGUCCCACCGGCAGAUCAUCUUGAUGCAGUGAGCAACAUCAACCCGCACGAAACAAGCAUUUGCACCACUGGGACACUUGAGCUCUCACCCCCUGCCACAACACCCUGAUAAAGGAAUAUAUGGCCAGACUUGCCAUUUGGUCUCUGUAGUUUCCUCACCACUGAGCCAGUUGCAUCAAAACUCACA